rnacentral:lncRNA from 1 species
CUGAUCUAGACCUGAACUAAUCAAAUGUCAGGGGCAAUGAGGCUUAAGGGCGGUGGUGUGGGAAACAGAUUAAAGAGGAAGCAGGAGGCAGAAUGAACGGGACACCGUCACUGGCUGUGACUGGAUGAAGGUGGUUAGAAGGCGUGAUGUCCCUAAUGUUACUUGUACCAUUUCCCCAGAUGCUGUCAACUGUAGGCUGCUCCUUAACUUCAUACCAUGUAGGAUGAAAUGCAGAACGAAAUGGAAGAUGUCAAACUAUGAAAAGUUAUGUCUUAGAAGUAAUAAAAGAACACACUAAAAGCAGCCUGUGGAGUAUCAAGAGAGAAAGCUCUCAGUGUCCACCUGGAUGUCAGCUCUCAGCUCCUGGCCCCAGUGUGGAGAGAAAAGAGGGCAUGUCCGUGCUAGAAGCAAGUGCUACUGAGACUCCGACAAGGUGUGUGAGUGCAGGAGCCCGGAUUCCAGGUCAGGGAUGUGUGGAGGACAAGGGAUCCUUAGCCGUUGCGUCUUGUGGGACUGGACAGGAGCUAGGGGUAGAGACUGAGAGGUCAUCCAGAAGGCAAACUUGUUUUUUCCUUAGAUUACAAGGAUCCCACCCAGCUUCUUGCUAUUUCUCAUAUUGGCCACUAGAGGGGGAGGUGCAGGAGAUUGUCUCCUAGAACAGCACUUCUCCCCUCUCAAGUGUCAAUAACAGAACUGGGCUGGGCAGGUCCAGCGUCCUGGCGCCUCUGGGGCAGAGGGGAUGUCUUUGAGCUGCACAGAAGCCACCUUAUGCUCAGACUUGAGAUGUCUGUAGGCUGAGUGCUGAUUUCUGUUGGAGAGUGGCAUCUAACAUGGAGACGUAAGGUGCUUGGUGAGGAAUGCUGUGAGUUCCACUUUCGUGUCGUGGCCCUCAGGGGCCUAUAUUAAGAACUGUGUUCCCUCCUAGUCUCUCCCCACUCCAGUGAGCUUGGUCUUGCGAUUUCCAGAGGGAGCUGAAUGAUCUGUUUUGUGCCUGGGACUGCUCCCUUCCCGUUUUCCU